AUAUCAAUAAGCGGAGGAAAAGAAACCAACAGGGAUUGCCUCAGUAACGGCGAGUGAAGCGGCAACAGCUCAAAUUUGAAAUCUGGCUCUUUCAGGGUCCGAGUUGUAAUUUGUAGAAGAUGCUUCGGGUGUGGCUCCGGUCUAAGUUCCUUGGAACAGGACGUCAUAGAGGGUGAGAAUCCCGUAUGUGACUGGGUGCCUUCGCUCAUGUGAAGCUCUCUCGACGAGUCGAGUUGUUUGGGAAUGCAGCUCAAAAUGGGUGGUAAAUUUCAUCUAAAGCUAAAUAUUGGCCAGAGACCGAUAGCGCACAAGUAGAGUGAUCGAAAGAUGAAAAGCACUUUGGAAAGAGAGUUAAACAGUACGUGAAAUUGUUGAAAGGGAAGCGCUUGCAACCAGACUUGCACGCGGUUGAUCAUCCGGUGUUCUCACCGGUGCACUCUGCCGCGUUCAGGCCAGCAUCGGUUUCGGUGGUUGGAUAAAGGCCUAGGGAAUGUAGCUUCUUUCGGGGAGUGUUAUAGCCCUAGGUGCAAUGCAGCCUACCGGGACCGAGGACCGCGCUUCGGCUAGGAUGCUGGCGUAAUGGUUGUAAGCGA
rnacentral:rRNA from 1 species